rnacentral:misc_RNA from 1 species
UUUCCGUAGGUGAACCUGCGGAAGGACCAUUAAAGGGUCUCUCUAGGGGCGGGUCCAACCGUUCUAUGGAACUGUCCACUCGGGUGAACAAUCAUGUGCUGCACUGGUGGGCCGCGUGCUCGUUUAGCGAUUGAGCACCGGCUUUGUCUGGAGAGCGUCUGUUAGAGGACCCUACUAUGUUAUAUAUGGCGUUUGAGUAUUAGUUAAGAGUUAAUACUUUCAACAACGGAUCUCUUGGUCAUGGCAUCGAAGAAGAACGCAGCAGAUCGGAAGAGG